rnacentral:rRNA from 1 species
UACGUAGGGGUCGAGCGUUGUCCGGAGUUAUUGGGCGUAAAGAGCUCGUAGGCGGUUUGUCGCGUCGUCUGUGAAAUCCUCCAGCUUAACUGGGGGCGUGCAGGCGAUACGGGCAGACUUGAGUACUACAGGGGAGACUGGAAUUCCUGGUGUAGCGGUGAAAUGCGCAGAUAUCAGGAGGAACACCGGUGGCGAAGGCGGGUCUCUGGGUAGUAACUGACGCUGAGGAGCGAAAGCAUGGGUAGCGAACAGGAUUAGAUACCCGGGUAGUCCCU